CUGCCCCUGCGUUGUUGGUGUCUUAGAUAGAUUUUUUUAACCAACAGAUAAGUAUAGGGAGCUCUGCACUGGGGAUGGUGUGCAGGCCCUGCUCUGACAGGGAAGCCUAAAGUCCCCAUCAAGGCGCCCACCUAGUUAGUCCAGGUUAAAAACGAUUUGUCUACACGGCAAAAGCGGGGGCUGA
rnacentral:other from 1 species